UGGUUCAGUUGGUAGAGCAUGGUGUUUGCAACGCCAGGGUUGUGGGUUCGAUUCCCGC
rnacentral:tRNA from 1 species